rnacentral:rRNA from 1 species
GAUGAACGCUAGCUACAGGCUUAACACAUGCAAGUCGAGGGACCGGCGCACGGGUGAGUCACACGUAUCCAACCUGCCCUUUACUCGGGGAUAGCCUUUCGAUAGAAAGAUUAAUACCCGAUAUAACGGCUGGGGAUGCGUUCCAUUAGGUUGUUGGUGCGGUAACGUCUCACCAACCCUUCGAUGGAUAGGGGUUCUGAGAGGAAGGGCCACAACAUUGGAAAUAGGACACGGACCAAACGCCUACGGGAGGCAGCAGUGAGGAAGAUUGGUAAAUGGGCGCUAGCCUGAACCAGCCAAGUAGCGUGAAGGAUGAAGGCUUAUGGGUCGUAAACUUCUUUUAUAUAAGAAGAUGUAUUAUAUGAAUAAGGAUCGGCUAACUCCGUGCCAGCAGCCGCGGUAAUAC